GCGGGUAUAGUUCAGUGGUAGAACGUCACCUUCCCAAGGUGAAUGCUAGGGGUUCGAGUCCCCUUACCCGCU
rnacentral:tRNA from 1 species